GACGAACGCUGGCGGCGUGCUUAACACAUGCAAGUCGAACGGAAAGGCCCUGCUUUUGUUGGGUGCUCGAGUGGCGAACGGGUGAGUAACACGUGAGUAACCUGCCCUUGACUUUGGGAUAACUUCAGGAAACUGGGGCUAAUACCGGAUAGGAGCUCCUGCUGCAUGGUGUGGGUUGGAAAGUUUCGGCGGUUGGGGAUGGACUCGCGGCUUAUCAGCUUGUUUGUGGGGUAGUGGCUUACCAAGGCUUUGACGGGUAGCCGGCCUGAGAGGGUGACCGGCCACAUUGGGACUGAGAUACGGCCCAGACGCCUACGGGAGGCAGCAGUGGGGAAUAUUGCAGAAUGGGCGGAAGCCUGAUGCAGCAACGCCGCGUGCGGGAUGACGGCCUUCGGGUUGUAAACCGCUUUCGCCUGUGACGAAGCGUGAGUGACGGUAAUGGGUAAAGAAGCACCGGCUAACUACGUG
rnacentral:rRNA from 1 species